rnacentral:rRNA from 1 species
GAUGAACGCUGGCGGCGUGCCUAAUACAUGCAAGUCGAGCGAACAGACGAGGAGCUUGCUCCUCUGACGUUAGCGGCGGACGGGUGAGUAACACGUGGAUAACCUACCUAUAAGACUGGGAUAACUUCGGGAAACCGGAGCUAAUACCGGAUAAUAUAUUGAACCGCAUGGUUCAAUAGUGAAAGACGGUUUUGCUGUCACUUAUAGAUGGAUCCGCGCCGCAUUAGCUAGUUGGUAAGGUAACGGCUUACCAAGGCGACGAUGCAUAGCCGACCUGAGAGGGUGAUCGGCCACACUGGAACUGAGACACGGUCCAGACUCCUACGGGAGGCAGCAGUAGGGAAUCUUCCGCAAUGGGCGAAAGCCUGACGGAGCAACGCCGCGUGAGUGAUGAAGGUCUUCGGAUCGUAAAACUCUGUUAUUAGGGAAGAACAUAUGUGUAAGUAACUGUGCACGUCUUGACGGUACCUAAUCAGAAAGCCACGGCUAACUACGUG